AACGCACAUUGCGCCCUCUGGUAUUCCGGGGGGCAUGCCUGUUCGAGCGUCAUUAUCACCCCUCAAGCCCGGCUUGCUGUUGGAAGCGGCGGUCACCCGCCCUUCCCAAAGAUAAUGACGGCGUCUGUGAGGACUCCUGUACACUGAGCUUUCGGGCACGUACUAGGCUAGAAGUCCAGACCCGGUCGACGUCCGACCCUCUCUCGCGGGAGGGACGGACACACCCCUUUUUUUUUAUCAAGGUUGACCUCGGAUCAGGUAGGGAUACCCGCUGAACUUAA
rnacentral:misc_RNA from 1 species